GCUUCAAGCAAAUAAGACCAUAAGGGAUUAUCAGAACCCUUUAAUAGAUGAAAGGAUCCAACAAUGGAGGAGUGGUGAAAGGAAGGAAAUGGAGGACUUGCUUGAUGUUUUCAUCACUCUCAAGGAUUCAGAUGGCAAGCCAUUGCUCACAGCUGAUGAGAUCAAGAAUCAAAUCGCUGAAAUUAUGAUAGCCGUUUGACGGGUUAUCUACUGUUGCUAUCAUAAUUUCAGCGAUUUGAUUCUU
rnacentral:misc_RNA from 1 species